CUGCCGAGAACCGACGAGGUCCUACACUGUGAGGAGGAGCUGGUUUGGCCUGAGAUAUACACUUGUUUCUCAUCUCUAACCUCUCUGCUAUAGAUAUGACACAGUGUCAGUUACACGUUGUUCGCUGUUUACAUCAGUAUAACUGUAGAUGCUCUUCAAAGCCAUGUCCUUCAUUGUGGACCACCUUGACUGUCAACUUGACUGAAUUUCCAGCUAGGAGACAGACUUCACAGGACAUCUAGGAGGACACUGAGGUGGGAAGAUACAGCCUGAGUGUAGAUGGUACUGGACUCAGUAGAAGGAAGAACAAGCACUGUAUUCAUUUCUCACUCUCUGAAUUUGGACCCAGUGUGAUCAUGCUCCUUCUCCCUGAGCUAGAACUGAUCUCACUGCCCUACAUUCCCUGCUGGGAUGGACUGUACCUUCAAACUGUGAGCCGAAAGAGAUCCUUUUGUAAGCUUCUUUUGUCAGCUCUGUUGUGAUAGCAAUGAGAAGAGUAAUUAAGACUGAAACCUGAGACCGAGAGUAAAGUUGUUGCUGUGAAAUAGCUGACUGGUCCUUAGACAUUUGGAACUAGCUUGUGAGAAAAUAACUUUGAAGAGCUUGGCACUGAAGUCUAGAAAAGUCUUACAAUCUACAGAGAAUUUGAUGAGUACUUCUUAGGGGAGUUUGGAAGAGCAGACGGUUAAUUUAAUACAGGCCUCGAAGGCUUGCUUUGAGAGGUUUCAGAGCAGAACAAGGACGCCUAUCGAGAACUGUGCUGGAGGGUAUUAAUGUUACAUUCUCACAAGGACUUGCUUCAUUCUGGCCAUGUCCUGGAGCACUUAAGUUGGAUUGCAUUUAAAAGUAAUGGCAUUCAUUCUUUGGAGGAAAUUCAAGAUAUCACAGCAUUCAAGCUACAGCAUGAUUCUAGUUCUCUGACCUUCUCCAGGUCUACUAGUGAAAGAGAACAGCAAAUGGAGAGGAGAGAAAUGGAAAUUGUGAAGUUUGGAGAAGACAGGAGUGUGAACAAGCUUAAAGCUGCAGACAAGGCAUUCUUGGAGACGGCAGCUAUAAUUGUUAAAAAGAUCGGUAUCAUUAAAGAAAACCUAUUCUUUACUGGGAUGAUAGGAAAAGCGUCUUGAGAAUAAGAGUCUACCUAUCAAAGGCUCCAACUUGUGAAAGUACAAAUUCAUUUGAAAGGAAUCUAUACCGAAAAAAAAAAAAGUCACUGAGGGGUUUUUCUGGUUUUUAAAAAUUCCAAUUGCUUAGAAAAUUUAAAAAAAAAAAGAAAACAAACAAAAACUCAGCCAUUUAAGUGCCCAGAGAGCACUACAAUUGGGUUGAAAGGGGCCAGACUACAUCUUGAGCUUGCUGAAGAACUUGGCAGCAUGCUCUACACAGUACUCACAUUACAGGCAUACAAAAUAGAAGAGUACAAGAGUGAUGGAGAUCUGAACCAAGGUUCCAGAAAGCUGCUGAGACCAGGCAAUGUGAGGCAAGGCCAGACUACUUCAAAGGAACCCAAGAGGCCAUUGCCUUAAGCCAGGGAAGCCUGCAGUGGAGAUCCCAGCAUGUUGGAGAUGGCAGGACAGUGAGAUGUGUGCUGGGGAAACUUCAAGCGUGAAGUGGAGCUGACUCUAGAAGUAGGUUAAGUGUGCUCCAGACAGCAAAACUCCAGAGUCGGGGCUCCCCAAGCCUAUGGUAGAUGAGAGGCUACCACCAGAAGUCUCAGAUGACCAACACAGAGCUGUAGAAUUUGGUGUUUGCCUUAUUAGGGUUUUGUUCUUGCCUUGGUCCAGUCUCAAGUUGGAAUGCUCCCAUUCCUUCAUUUAGGGUUGGCAAUAUUUAUCCUGUGUCAUACGUAGAAAUUAUAUGCCAUUUUUAUCUUCUGUUUUUUUUUCCUAGAGCUGAGGACUGAACCCAGUGCCUUGAGCUUGCUAGGCAAACGCUCUACCACUGAACUAAAUCCCCAGUCCCACCAUUUUUAUUUUCUAGGGGCUCACUGUUAAGAAUUUAUUUGAGUCACGAACAAGAUUCUGAACUUAAAUUAUGAAUAUUUUGGAAGUAAAGAUAUGUUGGAAGCUUUUAAAGAUGGAUAAAAUGUGUUUAUUUUAUUUUUGCAUUAUGAAAUGAACAUAGGGAACAGAAGUGAAAUGUUAGUGAUAUAUUUGGGCUUCAGCUUGACUAAGGGAUGGAUUUAAGAUUGCUAAUCUUUACUGUUGAUUUGAUUAGAUAUAUCAGCCAGGAGAAAAAUCUCUGCACAUGGUAUAAGGGUGCUUUCAGAGACAUCUGACUGAGGUGGGAAGACCUACCCUGUAACUUACAUGGCAAGAGUGAAAAUGCUCUAGUGAGACAGCUGUGCUACUCCAAGUAUCAAACUAUUGAAAUAAUGGACCCCAAGAAAUUGGAAUUUACAGAGGAAACUCACGCAGAAGGAUGGCUUGUCUCUUAGAAGGAAAUUUCAUAGUUCUGACAUCUUGUCAGAGCAUUUUUGCCAGAGAGUCUGCAGCCCAGACUAUGAUUGUGGGUGGGACUGCACCUUGACCAGCACGGCUUAGUUAUGCUCAUGCCUUCUAGAUAUGACAGAACUGCUGUACCCCUGAUCACAGAAGCUGUGGUUGCCUACACAAGACCUGCGCAAGACCAAGUCAGCCGACAUUCCAGCAUGGGGAGUUGUUCCCCAGCUUCCAUUCCUAACUAAGGAGCUAUGAACAGCUGGUGGCUUCCAGGGGAGGGAGAGUUAGUUCUCUUUAAGAGUAAGGGCCCAGGCUGGAUGGUGGUGGCGCAUGCCUUUAAUCCCAGCACUCAGGAGGCAGAGCCAGGCGGAUCUUUGUGAGUUUGAGGCCAGCCUGGUCUACAGAGCAAGAUCGAGGAAAGGCACAAAGCUACACAGAGAAAAUCUGUCUCGAAAAACCAAAAAAUAAAAAAUAAAAAUAAAUAAAAUGUAUUUUCUAAUCCUUUUCAGUGGAGCUGGGGACAAUAUACAAGUGGAUAUGUGUGUUCAUUCAUCUUCUUUUUAGCUGAAAGUAGUAAUGUCAUUCUUUGAGUUUGUAGUAUGUCUGGAUCCAGUACAGAUGGAGUUCCCUAACCCCCUAGUUCUCAAAGUUGCUUCAUUUUAAAAAAAUGGAAAUUUUAAUAGAUUUUUAAUCCCCCAUAUAAUUUCUCUUUAUUCAAAUCAUCUUAUUCCGUAAACAAUUUCAUUCUUUGAUCUUAGAAGAUUAACCUUGGCACUUAAACGUUGUGUACCUAAGACACGAGGCACCUUUGUGA